GCCUGGUUAGCUCAGCAGGGAGAGCGUCCGCUUGAAAAGCGGAAGGCCGCCGGUUCGAUCCCGACACCAGGCA
rnacentral:tRNA from 1 species